rnacentral:rRNA from 1 species
AUUGAACGCUGGCGGCAGGCCUAACACAUGCAAGUCGAACGAGUGGCGGACGGGUGAGUAAUGUCUGGGAAACUGCCUGAUGGAGGGGGAUAACUACUGGAAACGGUAGCUAAUACCGCAUACCAUCGGAUGUGCCCAGAUGGGAUUAGCUAGUAGGUGGGGUAAAGGCUCACCUAGGCGACGAUCCCUAGCUGGUCUGAGAGGAUGACCAUCAACACUGGAACUGAGGCACGGUCCAGACUCCUACAGGAGGCAGCAGAAGGGAAUAUUGCACAAGGGACGCAAGCCGGAUGCAGCCAGGCGGCGUGUAUGAAGAAGGCCUUCGGGUUGUAAAGGACAUUCAGCGGGGAGGCGUUACCCGCAGAAGAAGCACCGGCUAGAUCCGUGCCAGCAACCGCGGUAAUAC